rnacentral:rRNA from 1 species
CUGACCUCAAAUCAGGCAGGAUUACCCGCUGAACUUAAGCAUAUCAAUAAGCGGAGGAAAAGAAACUAACAAGGAUUCCCCUAGUAACUGCGAGUGAAGCGGGAAAAGCUCAAAUUUAAAAUCUGGUAGUCUUUGGCUGCCCGAGUUGUAGUCUGGAGAAGUGCUUUCUGCACUGGACCGUGUACAAGUCUCUUGGAACAGAGCGUCAUAGAGGGUGAGAAUCCCGUCUUUGACACGGACUACCAGUGUUGUGUGAUG